GCUGGGACUAGGAAUACAGGCUAACAUCUUGAGCAUCAAAAGGAUCAUCGUCUGUAACUGCGGUGGAAGGGGACCAGACUCCUAAGAGUGGAAGAUGAUCUAAGACACCAGAAGAGACUGAAUCCUCGCUCUCUGCAGACUUCCAAGUCCUGGAGAAUAGUGAGCAGAGAACAUGCUACAGCAGUGCAGGCUUCAUGGAUCGUCCUCACAGCUACGUUAUAUACCUGCAAUUUCCUCCAAAAUGGCAUUUAUGCUGUUCAUAACAUGCACAACUGAGCAACCGGAAAGCUGGACUGUCAUGUAUGUACGUAUAGAGUACCGGACAAUUCUUCAAGGGAGAUGGGGAGUUGGAAUUGCCCAGCAGCUACAUUCAGCAGUAAGUUUGGAGUGGCACUUACCCUUCACUUUGUUCUGCAAAUUCCACUAAAGUUCAGGAAGGAGGAUUUUGCCAUAUGUUAUUGGGCCAAAUGUAAAUGGGAGG